AGCCAGGAGACAGGUGCUGCACGGCUGUCGUCAGCUCGUGUCGUGAGAUGUUGGGUUAAGUCCCGCAACGAGCGCAACCCUCGUCCUUAGUUGCUAACAGUUCGGCUGAGCACUCUAGGGAGACUGCCUUCGCAAGGAGGAGGAAGGUGAGGACGACGUCAAGUCAUCAUGGCCCUUACGGCCAGGGCUACACACGUGCUACAAUGGGGCGUACAGAGAGCUGCGAUACCGCGAGGUGGAGCCAAUCUCUUAAAGCGUCUCUCAGUUCGGAUUGUUCUCUGCAACUCGAGAACAUGAAGCUGGAAUCACUAGUAAUCGCAGAUCAGCUAUGCUGUGGUGAAUACCGUUCCCGGGCCUU
rnacentral:rRNA from 1 species